rnacentral:sRNA from 1 species
CGCCGCCCGCGACGUUGCGAGAAAUCCCUUGAACCUUAUCAUUUAAAGGAGAUGUCGUAACAAGGUUUUUGUCRGUGAACYUGCAGAAGGAUCAUUGUCGAGACUCAGAACGACCAGAAGACCCGCGAACUCGGAACGGAUGCCGCCGGAGCAGGUGAACACGCCCGUCCCUCCGUCUCGUCACCCCUCGGGUUGCGUCCGCGCGGCGCGGCCCGGCGGGCGGAGGACACAUCCCGACACGGCACGCGCCAAGGAAUGACCGAAUGACCRUCGGAAUAGGGCUCCGMUCCCGCCCGUGCGGCGGGGCGACGCCUUGCUCUACUCGAAACACGGUGUAUGACUUUCGGCAAMGGAUAUCUCGUUUCUCGCAUSGAUGAAGAACAUAGCAAAAUGCAAUCAUUGGUGUGAAUUGCAAAAUCCCUCGAACCAUCGAGUCUUUGAAUGCAAGUUGCGCCUGAGGCCAUCCAGCCGAGGGCACGCCUGCCUGGGCGUCACACAUCGCGUCCCUCCGCGCCCCACGGGCGCUGGACACUGAGAUUGCCCCCUCGAGCGCGAGUGCGGCGGGCCUAAGCACGGGCCACCGGUAGGGACGAGCAUGGUGAGUGGUGGAUGGAAGCGCGGACUCCGCGCAUACGAGACAGACGCCGUGGCCACCGAUCCCCAGCAGCACAGGGCCCUUCGGAACCCCACAGGGCGUGCGAGCCCUCCCCAAGGUCGGGCGAGCUGCCUCGCACCGCGACCCUAGGUCAGGCGGGGCCACUCGCCGAGUUUAAGCAUAUCAAUAAGCGGAGAAGAAG